rnacentral:rRNA from 1 species
GACGAACUGUCCUAACGUUGUUCGGAAUCACUGGGCUUAAAGGGCGCGUAGGCGGUCCGCCAAGUCAGGUGUGAAAUCCUGCAGCUUAACUGUAGAAGUGCCUCUGAUACUGGCGGUCUUGAGGGAAAUAGGGGUGUGCGGAACUUCCAGUGGAGCGGUGAAAUGCGUUGAUAUUGGAAGGAACGCCGGAGGCGAAAGCGGCGCACUGGAUUUCUUCUGACGCUGAGGCGCGAAAGCUAGGGGAGCAAACGGG